rnacentral:rRNA from 1 species
CCUGGUUGAUCCUGCCAGUAGUCAUAUGCUUGUCUCAAAGAUUAAGCCAUGCAUGUCUCAGUACAAGCCAAAUUAAGGUGAAACCGCGAAAGGCUCAUUAAAUCAGUUAUGGUUCCUUAGAUCGUACUCACAUUUACUUGGAUAACUGUGGUAAUUCUAGAGCUAAUACAUGCAAACAGAGUUCCAACCGGAGACGGAAGGAGCGCUUUUAUUAGAUCAAAACCAAUCGGUGCCGCGGUGGCGUUUACGUUUGCCGUGGUAUCGUACAAAAACUUGGUGACUCUGAAUAACUUUUUGCUGAUCGCACGGUCUUGCACCGGCGACGCAUCUUUCAAAUGUCUGCCUUAUCAACUGUCGAUGGUAGGUUCUGCGCCUACCAUGGUUGUAACGGGUAACGGGGAAUCAGGGUUCGAUUCCGGAGAGGGAGCCUGAGAAACGGCUACCACAUCCAAGGAAGGCAGCAGGCGCGCAAAUUACCCACUCCCAGCACGGGGAGGUAGUGACGAAAAAUAACGAUACGGGACUCAUCCGAGGCCCCGUAAUCGGAAUGAGUACACUUUAAAACUUUUCCCAAAAAUCAAUUGGAGGGUAAGUCUGGUGCCAGCAGCCGCGGUAAUUCCAGCUCCAAUAGCGUAUAUUAAAGUUGUUGCGGUUAAAAAGCUCGUAGUCGAAUCUGUGUCCCGCGCCGCUGGUUCAUCGCUCGCGGUGUUUAACUGGCGUGUCUCGCGGGACGUCCUGCCGGUGGGCGCUCGUAUCGUUUCGGCGGUGCGUGGCCCAACUCGUAGCCGUCUUGCGCGGAUGCGAAUCCCAUCGCGGUGCUCUUUAUUGAGUGUCGAGGUGGGCCGGCACGUUUACUUUGAACAAAUUAGAGUGCUUAAAGCAGGCCAAUUUUGCCUGAAUAUUGUGUGCAUGGAAUAAUGGAAUAGGACCUCGGUUCUAUUUUGUUGGUUUUCGGAACCCCGAGGUAAUGAUUAAUAGGAACGGAUGGGGGCAUUCGUAUUGCGACGUUAGAGGUGAAAUUCUUGGAUCGUCGCAAGACGGACAGAAGCGAAAGCAUUUGCCAAAAACGCUUUCAUUGAUCAAGAACGAAAGUUAGAGGUUCGAAGGCGAUCAGAUACCGCCCUAGUUCUAACCAUAAACGAUGCCAGCUAGCGAUCCGCCGACGUUCCUCCGAUGACUCGGCGGGCAGCUUCCGGGAAACCAAAGCUUUUGGGUUCCGGGGGAAGUAUGGUUGCAAAGCUGAAACUUAAAGGAAUUGACGGAAGGGCACCACCAGGAGUGGAGCCUGCGGCUUAAUUUGACUCAACACGGGACACCUCACCAGGCCCGGACACCGGAAGGAUUGACAGAUUGAUAGCUCUUUC